CUGCACCUCAACCCUGCACCUAGCCUCAACCCUGCACCUCAACCCUCCACCUAGCCUCAACCCUCCACCUAGCCUCAACCCUGCACCCAGCCUCAACCCUACACCCAGCCUCAACCCUGCACCUAAACCCUGCACCCAGCCUCAACCCUGAACCUAAACCCUGCACCUAGCCUCAACCCUGCACCUAGCCUCAACCCUGCACCUCAACCCUGCACCUAGCCUCAACUCUGCACCUAGCCUCAACCCUGAACCUAAACCCUGCACCUAGCCUCAACCCUCCACCUAGCCUCAACCCUGCACCCAGCCUCAACCCUACACCCAGCCUCAACCCUGCACCUAAACCCUGCACCCAGCCUCAACCCUGAACCUAAACCCUGCACCUAGCCUCAACCCUGCACCUAGCCUCAACCCUGCACCUCAACCCUGCACCUAGCCUAAACCCUGCACCUAGCCUAAACCCUGCACCUAGCCUAAACCCUGCACCUAGCCUAAACCCUGCACCUCAACCCUGCACCUAGCCUUAACCCUGCACCUAGCCUCAACCCUGCACCUAGCCUCAACCCUCCACCUAGCCUCAACCCUGCACCUCAACCCUCCACCUAGCCUCAACCCUCCACCUAGCCUAAACCCUGCACCUCAACCCUGCACCUAGCCUUAACCCUGCACCUAGCCUUAAGCCUGCACCUAGCCUCAACCCUGCACCUAGCCUCAACCCUGCACCUAGCCUCAACCCUGCACCUUAACCCUGCACCUAGCCUCAACCCUCCACCUAGCCUCAAACCCUGCACCUCAACCCUCCACCUAGCCUCAACCCUCCACCUAGCCUCAACCCUGCACCUCAACCCUGCACCUAGCCUAAACCCUGCACCUAGCCUCAAUCCUGCACCUCAACCCUGCACCUAGCCUCAACCCUCCACCUAGCCUCAACCCUCCACCUUAACCCUGCACCUAGCCUCAACCCUGCACCUAGCCUCAACCCUCAACCUAGCCUCAACCCUGCACCUAGCCUCAACCCUCCACCUAGCCUCAACCCUGCACCUAGCCUCAACCCUGCACCUUAACCCUGCACCUAACCUCAGUCCUCCACCUAGCCUCAACCUAGGCCUGGUAACAGGUAACUCAUGACAAUAUCUGUGUGUAGGAUGGGUUGCAUUUAUGCAACAACAAAAAAACAGUUUCACAGUGCUUUGCUGAUGUUGUAUCAUGUCUGUGUUGUGGAAGUUGUAGUGAUGUUGUAGUGAUGUUGUAUCAUGUCUGUGUUGUGGAUGUUGUAGUGAUGUUGUAUCAUGUCUGUGUUGUGGAGGUUGUAGUGAUGUUGUAUCAUGUCUGUGUUGUAGUGAUGUUGUAGUGAUGUUGUAGUGAUGUUGUAUCAUGUCUGUGUUGUGGAAGUUGUAGUGAUGUUGUAGUGAUGUUGUAUCAUGUCUGUGUUGUGGAGGUUGUAGUGAUGUUGUAUCAUGUCUGUGUUGUGGAGGUUGUAUCAUGUCUGUGUUGUGGAGGUUGUAGUGAUGUUGUAUCAUGUCUGUGUUGUUUAGGUUGUAGUGAUGUUGUAUCAUGUCUGUGUUGUGGAGGUUGUAUCAUGUCUGUGUUGUUUAGGUUGGAGUGAUGUUGUAUCAUGUCUGUGUUGUGGAGGUUGUAGUGAUGUUGUAUCAUGUCUGUGUUGUGGAGGUUGUAUCAUGUCUGUGUUGUGGAGGUUGUAGUGAUGUUGUAUCAUGUCUGUGUUGUGGAGGUUGUAGUGAUGUUGUAUCAUGUCUGUGUUGUGGAGGUUGUAGUGAUGUUGUAUCAUGUCUGUGUUGUGGGAGGUUGUAGUGAUGUUGUAUCAUGUCUGUGUUGUGGAGGUUGUAGUGAUGUUGUAUCAUGUCUGUGUUGUGGAGGUUGUAGUGAUGUUGUAUCAUGUCUGUGUUGUGGAGGUUGUAGUGAUGUUGUAUCAUGUCUGUGUUGUGGAGGUUGUAGUGAUGUUGUAUCAUGUCUGUGUUGUGGAGGUUGUAGUGAUGUUGUAUCAUGUCUGUGUUGUGGAGGUUGGAGUGAUGUUGUAUCAUGUCUGUGUUGUGGAGGUUGUAGUGAUGUUGUAUCAUGUCUGUGUUGUGGAGGUUGUAGUGAUGUUGUAUCAUGUCUGUGUUGUGGAGGUUGUAGUGAUGUUGUAUCAUGUCUGUGUUGUGGAGGUUGUAUCAUGUCUGUGUUGUUUAGGUUGUAGUGAUGUUGUAUCAUGUCUGUGUUGUGGAGGUUGUAGUGAUGUUGUAUCAUGUCUGUGUUGUGGAGGUUGUAGUGAUGUUGUAUCAUGUCUGUGUUGUGGAGGUUGUAUCAUGUCUGUGUUGUUUAGGUUGUAGUGAUGUUGUAUCAUGUCUGUGUUGUGGAGGUUGUAUCAUGUCUGUGUUGUGGAGGUUGUAGUGAUGUUGUAUCAUGUCUGUGUUGUGGAGGUUGUAGUGAUGUUGUAUCAUGUCUGUGUUGUGGAGGUUGUAUCAUGUCUGUGUUGUGGAGGUUGUAUCAUGUCUGUGUUGUGGAGGUUGUAGUGAUGUUGUAUCAUGUCUGUGUUGUGGAGGUUGUAUCAUGUCUGUGUUGUGGAGGUUGUAGUGAUGUUGUAUCAUGUCUGUGUUGUGGAGGUUGUAGUGAUGUUGUAUCAUGUCUGUGUUGUUUAGGUUGUAGUGAUGUUGUAUCAUGUCUGUGUUGUGGAGGUUGUAGUGAUGUUGUAUCAUGUCUGUGUUGUGGAGGUUGUAGUGAUGUUGUAUCAUGUCUGUGUUGUUUAGGUUGUAGUGAUGUUGUAUCAUGUCUGUGUUGUGGAGGUUGUAUCAUGUCUGUGUUGUGAUGUUGUAUCAUGUCUGUGUUGUGGAGGUUGGAGUGAUGUUGUAUCAUGUCUGUGUUGUUUAGGUUGUAGUGAUGUUGUAUCAUGUCUGUGUUGUGGAGGUUGUAUCAUGUCUGUGUUGUGGAGGUUGUAUCAUGUCUGUGUUGUGGAGGUUGUAUCAUGUCUGUGUUGUAGUGAUGUUGUAUCAUGUCUGUGUU